rnacentral:rRNA from 1 species
GACGAACGCUGGCGGCGUGCCUAAUACAUGCAAGUCGAGCGAACCAAUAAGAAGCUUGCUCUUUGUUGGUUAGCGGCGGACGGGUGAGUAACACGUGGGUAACCUGCCUGUAAGACUGGGAUAACUCCGGGAAACCGGUGCUAAUACCGGAUAGAUUAUCUUUCCGCAUGGAGAGAUAAGGAAAGAUGGCUAUUGCCAUCACUUAAAGAUGGGCCCGCGGCGCAUUAGCUAGUUGGUGAGGUAACGGCUCACCAAGGCGACGAUGCGUAGCCGACCUGAGAGGGUGAUCGGCCACACUGGGACUGAGACACGGCCCAGACUCCUACGGGAGGCAGCAGUCGGGAAUCUUCCGCAAUGGACGAAAGUCUGACGGAGCAACGCCGCGUGAGCGAUGAAGGUCUUCGGAUCGUAAAGCUCUGUUGUUAGGGAAGAACAAGUAUCGGAGGAAAUGCCGGUACCUUGACGGUACCUGACGAGAAAGCCACGGCUAACUACGUG